rnacentral:rRNA from 1 species
ACGCUCGACACCUACGGGAGCAGCAGUGGGGAAUAUUGCACAAUGGGGGAAACCCUGAUGCAGCGACGCCGCGUGAAGGAAGAAGUAUCUCGGUAUGUAAACUUCUAUCAGCAGGGAAGAAAGUGACGGUACCUGACUAAGAAGCCCCGGCUAACUACGUGCAGCAGUCGCGGUAAUCUGAGCGGGCUGGCAAGGC